rnacentral:tRNA from 1 species
GCCUUGAUGGUGGAAUGGUAGACACGCGAGAUUCAAAAUCUUGUGCUGCAAAGCAUGGAGGUUCGAGUCCUCUUCAGGGCA